rnacentral:pre_miRNA from 1 species
GCUGCCGCCGUUGCUGCCUGAACCACCCUGUAUAUAUAUAUAUAUAUAUAUACAGGGUGAUUCAGGUAGCAGCGGCGGCAGU